CAUUGUCCCAUCCUUCUUCUAAUAAAAUUGGAACGAUACAGAGAAGAUUAGCAUAGCCCCUGCUCAAGGAUGACACACACAAAUCGAGAAAUGGUAUCAGAGAUU